UACGUAGGGAGCGAGCGUUGUCCGGAAUUACUGGGCGUAAAGGGUGCGUAGGCGGCAUGGUGUGUCAGAUGUGAAAUCCCCGGGCUUAACUCGGGGGGUGCAUUUGAAACUGCUGUGCUUGAGUGCAGGAGAGGAAAGCGGAAUUCCUAGUGUAGCGGUGAAAUGCGUAGAUAUUAGGAGGAACACCAGUGGCGAAGGCGGCUUUCUGGACUGUAACUGACGCUGAGGCACGAAAGCGUGGGUAGCAAACAGGAUUAGAUACCCUGGUAGUCCACGCUGUAAACGAUGGAUACUAGGUGUGGGGGAGAUACAACCUCCGUGCCGGAGCAAACGCAAUAAGUAUCCCGCCUGGGGAGUACGGUCGCAAGGCUGAA
rnacentral:rRNA from 1 species